rnacentral:rRNA from 1 species
AAUUAACCCUCACUAAAGAGAGUUUGAUCCUGGCUCAGGACGAACGCUGGCGGCGUGCUUAAAACAUGCAAGUCGAACGAGACCUUUGGUCUAGUGGCGAACGGCGGAGUAAUACAUAAGCAACCUGCCUCAAAGACCGGGAUAGCCCCUCGAAAGAGGGAUUAAUACCGGAUGUGGCCUUUUGUGGGCAUCCACGAAAGAUUAAAACGAGUAAUCGGCUUUGAGAGGGGCUUGUGGCCUAUCAGCUUGUUGGUGGGGUAAUGGCCUACCAAGGCUUCGACGGGUAGCGGGUCUGAGAGGAUGAUCCSCCCGACUGGGACUGAGACAAGGCCCAGACUCCUACGGGAGGCAGCAGUUGGGAAUCUUGCACAAUGGGCGAAAGCUGGAUGCAGCGACGCCGCGUGGAGGACGARUCUCUCGGGAUGUAAACUCCUUUUGCCAGGGACGACAAUGACGGUACCUGGUGAAUAAGCCCCGGCUAACUACGUGCCAGCAGCCSCGGUAAGACGUARGGGGGCGAGCGUUGUCCGGAUUUACUGGGCGUAAAGAGCSCGUAGGCGGGCCUAUUAAAGUCAAGGUGUGAAAUCUCCAGGGCUCAACCCSGAAACUGCAUUUGAUACUGAUAGGCUGGAGUGUCGGAGAGGUGAUUGGAAUYCCUGGUGUAGCGGUGACAAUGCCAUUGAUAUCASGGAGGAACACCCAUGGCGAAGGMAGAUCACUGGGCCGACWAACUGACGCCUGAGGCGCGRAAACCGUUGGGUAGCAAAMAGAAUUAGMAUACUCUGGUAGUCCACGCCCCUAAACGAUGGAUACUAGACGUCAGGGGUAUCGACCCCCCUGGUGUCGCACUAACGCAUUAAGUAUCCCGCCUGGGGACUACGGCCGCCAAGGUUGAAACUCAAAGGAAUUGACGG